GACGAACGCUGGCGGCGUGCUUAACACAUGCAAGUCGAACGGAAAGGCCCUGCUUUUGUGGGGUGCUCGAGUGGCGAACGGGUGAGUAACACGUGAGUAACCUGCCCUUGCCUCUGGGAUAACUUCAGGAAACCGGGGCUAAUACGGGUUAGGAGCUCCUGCUGCGUGGUGGGGGUUGGAAAGUUUGGGCGGUUGGGGAUGUACUCGCGGCUUAUCGGCCUGUUGGUGGGGUAGUGGCUUGGGAAGGCGCUGACGGGUAGCGGGCCUGAGAGGGUGGCCGGCGACAUUGGGCCGGAGCUACGGCGCAGACUCCGUCGGGAGGCAGCAGUGGGGAAUAGUGCACUAUGGGCGGAAGCCUGAGUCAGGAACGCCGCGUUCCGGAUGAUGGCCUUCGGUUGGUCAACAGGUUUCGACUGUGACGGAGCGUGAGUGACGGUAAUGGGUAAAGAAGCACCGGCUAACUACGUG
rnacentral:rRNA from 1 species